rnacentral:rRNA from 1 species
UGGGGAAUAUUGGACAAUGGGCGCAAGCCUGAUCCAGCCAUGCCGCGUGUGUGAAGAAGGCCUUUUGGUUGUAAAGCACUUUAAGCGAGGAGGAGGCUACUUGGAUUAAUACUCUAGGAUAGUGGACGUUACUCGCAGAAUAAGCACCGUCUAACUCUGUGCCAGCAGCCGCGGUAAUACAGAGGGUGCGAGCGUUAAUCGGAUUUACUGGGCGUAAAGCGUGCGUAGGCGGCUUCUUAAGUCGGAUGUGAAAUCCCUGAGCUUAACUUAGGAAUUGCAUUCGAUACUGGGAAGCUAGAAUAUGGGAGAGGAUGGUAGAAUUCCAGGUGUAGCGGUGAAAUGCGUAGAGAUCUGGAGGAAUACCGAUGGCGAAGGCAGCCAUCUGGCCUAAUACUGACGCUGAGGUACGAAAGCAUGGGGAGCAAACAGG